UACGGAGGGGACUAGCGUUGUUCGGAAUUACUGGGCGUAAAGCGCACGUAGGCGGAUUUGUAAGUCAGGGGUGAAAUCCCGGGGCUCAACCUCGGAACUGCCUUUGAUACUGCAAAUCUCGAGUCCGGAAGAGGUGAGUGGAAUUCCUAGUGUAGAGGUGAAAUUCGUAGAGAUUAGGAAGAACACCAGUGGCGAAGGCGGCUCACUGGUCCGGUACUGACGAUGAGGUGCGAAAGAGUGGGGAGCAAACAGG
rnacentral:rRNA from 1 species